rnacentral:rRNA from 1 species
UCCGUAGGUGGAUGGUUAAGUCAGAGGUGAAAUCCUGCAGCUCAACUGUAGAAUUGCCUUUGAUACUGGCCGUCUUGAGUCAUUGUGAAGUGGUUGGAAUAUGUAGUGUAGCGGUGAAAUGCAUAGAUAUUACAUAGAACACCGAUUGCGAAGGCAGAUCACUAACAAUGUACUGACACUGAUGGACGAAAGCGUGGGGAGCGAACAGGAUUAGAUACCCUGGUAGUCC